GGGUGGUUAGCUCAGCGGGAGAGCACUGCGCUUACAACGCAGGGGUCACUGGUUCGAACCCAGUACCGCCCA
rnacentral:tRNA from 1 species